rnacentral:rRNA from 1 species
CUGCCUACGGGACGCAGCAGUGGGGAAUAUUGCACAAUGGGGGAAACCCUGAUGCAGCGACGCCGCGUGAGUGAAGAAGCGUUUCGGCGCGUAAAGCUCUGUCAGCGGGGAAGAAACACGGUUCGCGAGAGCCGCGGACGGUACCCGACCAAGAAGCCCCGGCUAACUACGCGCCAGCAGCCGCGGUAAUACGGAGGAUGCGAGCGUUAUCCGGAUUUAUUGGGUUUAAAGGGUGCGUAGGCGGGAUGCCAAGUCAGCGGUAAAAAUGCGGUGCUCAACGCCGUCGAGCCGUUGAAACUGG